GGUCACGUAGUUCAGUUUUGGUUAGAAUGCCGGCCUGUCACGCCGGAGGUCGCGGGUUCAAGUCCCGUCGUGACCG
rnacentral:tRNA from 1 species